AUGCAGCAGAAUCCCGCCGAGGCCAUGGAGGUGUCCGCGCCGUCGGAGGCCGGGGCGCCCAAAGAUAUGGGGCCGUGGCUAGGGUUCUGGGAGGUGUCGCGCCGGCGGUUGACCCCCGACGACCCCUUCUUCGCCGCCGGCGACAUGGAACGCGAGCUACUCGCCAAACACGUUGCCCUGGAUCUCUCGGAUGAUGACCGGUAUCAACUUGAGAAGAUGGAUGUGGCGAGCGUGAGCAUGGUAUGUUGUCCAAUUGCUGGUUGCGGUGCUCAUCUAGAUUGCUUGGAGGACUUUGAAGACCACUACAGCACUCGGCAUACUGCUUCAUGCUCUGUAUGUUCAAGAGUGUACCCAACAUCAAGGUUGCUGAGUAUUCAUAUUUCUGAGGCGCAUGAUUCCUUCUUCCAAGCAAAAGUCGCUCGUGGUUUUCCUAUGUACGAAUGUUUGGUGGAGGGUUGUGGGGAGAAGUUGAAGACGUACAAAAGUCGGCAGCAGCAUCUUGUUGAUAAGCAUCAAUUUCCCAACUCAUUUGAAUUCUUCAAAAGGGCACAACCUUCCCAGCGGCAUCGUCAGAAGUAUCAUCGAAGGCAGACUGCUUAUAAGGGGGAGGAGACAAGGGAUACUGUCAUGGACGUUGAUGGAAAGAAUCCAAGGCAAUCAAAAUCGAAAUAUCGACCGAAGCAACGGGAUCAUAAGGAACCGAAAGAAAAUGAACAUUGUCACAAGGAGUCAAAAGAAAAUGAACAUCACGAGAAGGAGGCCAAGGAGAGCGACAUGGAGGUCGAACAGAAGAUUGAUGAACUGUCCUCGGCUGUAUCAAGGCUGAGUACUGCAGAUUCGGUGCCUUCGAGCGUAACCUUUGGCCAUCGUCGUUCUCGUGGUCUUACUUUUGUACCAAGGUCUAUUAGGCAGAACAAGCAGGUCUCUCAGCCAGAAGCAAACUGA
rnacentral:rRNA from 1 species